rnacentral:lncRNA from 1 species
AAUACAAUAGCUGCAGCUCAGCCUAAAGGAGGAAGCUCCUAGAAAGUUAAUCAAGCCUCCCAAUGAACUACAAUAGCUUUCAAGAUUCUCUUUCAGUGCAGCAGUCCACAGCCCCGCUCCAUGCCCUGUGAGGCACAAUCUGGAAGAUAAGUCAGGAGCUGUUGCUUUCCUACCAAUCUUCAGAGCUUUCUGGUGGCGUGAUGCCCCAGAAGUGUGUGAAAACCUCCCCCAGGUCACACUGCAACUCUGUUUAUUGCUUCUUACCAGAGUGCCCUCUAUGUCAUUCUAUAUUAAUGCUAAAGAGGAAAUUACAGUCUCACACAGCGAUUGAAGGCACUGCUCUGGAGGACUAUAUCAGGAAGGAGUGCAUGGCAAACAGUGGGGUACUUUGGGGAUAUUCCCAGAUAUUUACUUCUUAAAGAACUUUAUUAAUCAGAUAAAUCCUGUAGGAAUAUUUGCUCCUGGGAGACUGGUUACUCUCAUGAUUCUCAUUGGCAUCAAUGAACUUCUUUUCACCUGGCCAAUCAAUAUGGAAAACACCUAUUUGUCACUCAUUUUUGCAAGUAUUCAGUGUUUGCUUCCUUGCAAGAUGCUGGACCGAGGGCCUCAAUUUCCAGUCAACUGUUUGCCAGAAGCUGUCCUCAAUUUCUUGCACGUGGCCCUUUUCACGGACACCUUACUACAUGUCAGGUUGCGUUUUCAAAGCCAGCAGAGGACACUUUUCACACAAGAUAAGAUUACAAUCUUAUGUAAUGUAAGUAUUCAUGUAAUCACAUGCAUCCAGCACUUUUGCCCUAUUCUUUUGGUUAGAAUCAAGUCACAGUUCCCCACAUUCGAAAGGAAGUAGCUGCAUAAAGGCUUAACUGCUGAGAGCAGGGGAUCAUAAGGACACCUCACAUUCUGUCUGCAACAGUCCACAUUCUGACCCCCAGGGAGUCAUCUUCCCUUAUACAGAAUAUGCUCACCACCUCUAGAGGUCCCCAUUACAGCAUCUACACAAAUUCAGAGAUCUCAUUACCUAAAUCAAGUCCAGGGGCGGAUGAAAGCUCUCUGAGUUAUCUACCAAUCUAUACAAUAAAGAAUUGAUCUGCCCCUCACACCCAACAUACAGUGAUUAAACAGGCGUCUGUUGGGCAGGCUGGUCCAAAAUGGCCAUAGUUGGGUUCCCUCACUGAGGCUUCUCGUGGGCUGUUUUCAGUAUGUAGCCAAGGUCAUAAACACACUUAUUCAGCCUAAGGACUCAAGGACAUAAACAUUUGCUUGUGAGCAUGUGCCCACUUACAUAACCUAUUGGUAAUGUUCCUUCUUUGUCUGGCCUGCAUAUAAAAAAGGCCUACAGAAAUGGUUCAGGGUGUUAAA